AUUGAACGCUGGCGGCAGGCCUAACACAUGCAAGUCGAGCGGAUGACGGGAGCUUGCUCCUUGAUUCAGCGGCGGACGGGUAAGUAAUGCCUAGGAAUCUGCCUGGUAGUGGGGGACAACGUUUCGAAAGGAGCGCUAAUACCGCAUACGUCCUACGGGAGAAAGCAGGGGACCUUCGGGCCUUGCGCUAUCAGAUGAGCCUAGGUCGGAUUAGCUAGUAGGUGAGGUAAUGGCUCACCUAGGCGACGAUCCGUAACUGGUCUGAGAGGAUGAUCAGUCACACUGGAACUGAGACACGGUCCAGACUCCUACGGGAGGCAGCAGUGGGGGAUAUUGGACAAUGGGCGAAAGCCUGAUCCAGCCAUGCCGCGUGCGUGAAGAAGGUCUUCGGAUUGUAAAGCACUUUAAGUUGGGAGGAAGGGCAGUAAGCUAAUACCUUGCUGUUUUGACGUUACCGACAGAAUAAGCACCGGCUAACUCUGUGCCAGCCGCCGCCGUAAAAC
rnacentral:rRNA from 1 species